rnacentral:rRNA from 1 species
UACGUAGGGUGCAAGCGUUAAUCGGAAUUACUGGGCGUAAAGCGUGCGCAGGCGGUUGUGCAGGACAGAUGUGAAAUCCCCGGGCUUAACCUGGGAAUGGCAUUUGUGACUGCACGGCUAGAGUGUGUCAGAGGGGGGUAGAAUUCCACGUGUAGCAGUGAAAUGCGUAGAUAUGUGGAGGAAUACCGAUGGCGAAGGCAGCCCCCUGGGAUAACACUGACGCUCAUGCACGAAAGCGUGGGGAGCAAACAGG